rnacentral:misc_RNA from 1 species
UACAGAGGGUGCAAGCGUUGUUCGGAAUCAUUGGGCGUAAAGCGCUCGUAGGCGGCUUACUAAGUCGGAUGUGAAAGCCCAGGGCUCAACCCUGGAAGUGCAUUCGAAACUGGUGAGCUUGAAUCCUGGAGAGGGCAGUGGAAUUCCGAGUGUAGAGGUGAAAUUCGUAGAUAUUCGGAGGAACACCAGUGGCGAAGGCGACUGCCUGGACAGAGAUUGACGCUGAGGAGCGAAAGCGUGGGGAGCAAACAGG